CAUAAAAAGAACAACAGAUAAAGUGGUAGAGGGUGAGAAAACAAUGACAAUGACUCCUGACAGUAAGACCAGAGUACUUAAUAAUAUAAUUAAAUAAUGAUCAUUAACAUUACACAUGAAAACAAUAAACAGAAUUACAUAAGAACAUAUUAACGGGUUGGGUCUGGAUUUGACUUGGAGAUAAUUGUGAGUAAUGGGUUGGUUGAGAGCUCUGCAGAUGUGGGUUUGACAUUAAUUGUCUUUUAGAAACUGUUUAUAACAAUUUGAGUCCAUUUGACAAUAAUACUUAAGUUGCAGAGGAGAGGACAGAUACAGGGCAGAAGUCAGCGCUGUAGAAACAGGGCAGAACUCAGCGCUGUAGAUACAGGGCAGAAGUCUCUAUUGACUAUAAUAGUAACAAUGAUGAUACUUUUAAUUAACUUUAUUUCAUAAGUUUUAGUGAAUUACACUAAUUUGACACAAUUAGUGGCACUCAUUGUUAUCUGUCACUUCAACAACAACAUUUAAACAAAACCUUAAAAAUAUUAAACAAAGAAAAUUAAACUCUUCAUCAGCAGAUAGAGUGUCAUGGAGAUGUUUUUAGUUGCACCAAAUAACUCAAAGUGACUUUCUUCUUUCAGAUUUGAUCUCAGUUUUCUGGUCUCUGGUUGAAGGAUCAGGGAUCAGAGACCUCCAUCAUGGCUAUCGCUGACCAGCUGCUGGAGCAGAUGUUCUCCUGGCUCGAGCAGAGGGAGCGCUGUGCAGAGAAACUGAGGAAACUGGCCAAGGAGCUGGAGUUACUCAGGCAGAAGUGUAAUGCUGCAGAAUGUGUUGGAAGCACAUAUGCUGUGGUUGGAGCAUUAUCUCUGAUCGGGGCCGGCAUGGCCACAUUUUUCACCGGCGGAGCAGCUGCUCCACUUUUAGGUGUGGCAGGAGCAGUGUUUUCAGGUACAGGUGUCACCAUAUCUGUGGCUUCUAAAAUCAUUGAGGGUUUCUCAUCCAGCGACACCAUGAAAGAUGCGCAGAGGAUAGAAGAGAAGAGCAACGAGGUUGCAGAAGAAAUCCAGAGACUGUUUGAGAGACUGAGGGCGAACAGUUCCUCUGCAGAUCCGGAUGAAGUGGACCGACACGUGAUGACUGAAAUUCUGAGAGCCAUGGCCAGACGCAAUGGACUGGAGGGGCAAAUAAACACCCAGACUUUUUUUGAUAAUAUACCCAUGAGGUUUACCCAGAGCUUCUCAAAUUCUGAACUGACAAUUGGACUUGCUGGUAUUUUAAGUUUUUUCACAUUGAAAACUGUUGGGAAUGAAUUUAAACAUUUGCUUGAUAAAGGAGCCAAUGAACUGAUCAAACAAGUGGCUAAAACUGGGUUUAAAAACGUCCUUAAAGGAGGAGCCAAGGUUGUGGGAGGAGCUGUCGGACUGGCGUUUGAACUUCCUGAGGCGAUCGACAACUGGAAAGACCUGAUCGAAAAGAAUCAUGUGACUAAAGCCAGCCAAUCACUGAGAGAUACAGCUGACGCCAUUCUAGACACCUGCCGGACACUCAGGGAACAGUUUGACAACAUCAGGAGGAUGUUUGAAGAGAUGGCUAAGAGUAAAAGAGAACUUACUUCACAGCAUGUUGUACCUCAGCAAGCAGCACAUUGUGACAUGACACCUAUGCAGCAGACAUGGCAAAAAUCAGUCCUGGCAGUAGGGUUACAACCCUUUACAUCAUGGGCUCAACCUCCCACUGAUCAAGCAGCCUCUACUCAUGGUUUCCAGUCUUUGAUUACACCAGUCUAUCCAGUGCCCAAACAGCUAGGAGUCCCUGAGGUCCUUACUUCACGGCAUGUUAUACGUCAGCCAGAACCACAGGGGGACCCGACAACUAUGCAACAGACGCAGCCAAAUUCCGUCCUGGCAGUCCGCUCUAGACCCAUUUAUGCUCAGGCUCAAACUCCCCCUUCACAAGCAGCCUUUACUCAUGGUCUCCAGUCAUUGAUUACACCAGUCCAUCCAGUGCCCAAACAGCUAGGAGUCCAUGGGCUCCUUACUUCACGGCAUGUUGUACCUCAGCAAGAACCACAGGGAGACGUGAUACCUAUGCAGCAGACGCAGCCAAAGUCAGACUUUGCAGUCGGCUCUAAGCCCGUUUAUGCUCACGCUCAAACUGCCCCUUCACAAGCAGCCUCUACUCAUGGUCUCCAGUCAUUGAUUACACCAGUCUAUCCAGUAACCAAACAGCUAGGAGUCCAUGGGCUCCUUACUUCACGGCAUGUUGUACCUCAGCAAGAACCACAGGGGGACCUGACACCUAUGCAACAGACGCAGCAAAAUUCCGUCCUGGCAGUCAGCUCUAGACCCAUUUCUGCUCACGCUCAAACUCCCCCUUCACAAGCAGCCUCUACUCAUGGUCUCCAGUCAUUGAUUACACCAGUCCAUCCAGUGCCCAAACAGCUCGGAGUCCAUGGGCUCCUUACUUCACGGCAUGUUGUACCUCAGCAAGAACCACAGGGGGACCUGACACCUAUGCAGAAGACACAGCCAAAGUCAGUCCUACCAGUCAGCUCUAGACCCAUUUCUGCUCAGGCUCAAACUCCUCCUUCACAAGCAGCCUCUACUCAUGGUCUCCAGUCAUUGAUUACACCAGUCUAUCCAGUGCCCAAACAGCUCGGAGUCCAUGGGCUCCUUACUUCACGGCAUGUUGUACCUCNNNNNNNNNNNNNNNNNNNNNNNNNNNNNNNNNNNNNNNNNNNNNNNNNNNNNNNNNNNNNNNNNNNNNNNNNNNNNNNNNNNNNNNNNNNNNNNNNNNNGGUGCUUUUUAAAUGUUUGAUUGCGUUCGUAGUGUUGUACAACGCGAGGGAGCUUCCGCGUCUCUGAAUUACGGCUUUGCAAACAUUGCAUUUUGCUGUCUUGCUCUGUUUCCAGUGUAAAGUAUUUCCACACAGCGGACAUGUUGGCUAGCCACAAUGCUGCUCAAUGCUAUCCUGCUAGCUGGCUGCAAACUGGGGAAUGGAUUUCCUGANCGGGGGCGUGUCUCAUAACUCUGUGUGUCAUUGAGCCGCGCCUCAGUUCAGGAAAUCAAUUCCCCAGUUUGCAGCCAGCUAGCAGGAUAGCAUUGAGCAGCAUUGUGGCUAGCCAACAUGUCCGCUGUGUGGAAAUACUUUACACUGGAAACAGAGCAAGACAGCAAAAUGCAAUGUUUGCAAAGCCGUAAUUCAGAGAAGCGCCCUUGCGUCGUACAACACUACGAACGCAAUCAAACAUUUAAAAAAGCAUCACACGAAACAGCACGAGGAUUUUUUAGGUGAGCUGUCAGGAAUCACUUCUGGAGUCAUUCCAAAAACAAGGUAAACUCCAGGCAGACAACGUGAAAGCUAAAGGGAUUAGUGGAUGUGUGUGUGUGUGUGUGUGUGCGCGUGCGUGCGAGCGAGUGAGUGUGUGUUAGAUGUUUACAGUUAUUGCACUUUUCUUAUAUUUCAGAUAAUUGACAUUUUAAAACCUUGAUUUGUUGAUGCUACAAGAGCCAGUGUACUUGAUUUGUGCUGUUCAGAUGCACACUGUUUUAUUGAUAGUGUGUGUAAGAUGUUUACACUUAUUGCACUUUUCUUAUAUUUCAAGACUCAAAUAUUUGACAUUUUGGGAAUUUAAUAAAUAUUGAUAUGACAAUCAAUUUGAAACCCUUACAGUUGCAUAUUUGUUUUCAGAAUGGGAUUCUUCCUGUUAACAGGAUUUCCUGUUUUUAUGACUUCCUUUUCUGACCUUAUACUCACCUCAAGUUGCCUUUUGGGACACACAUGCAUACAUACGUACAUAUCAUACUUGCCUGUUGAGAGGAGUUUAUUUCAGCCUCAUAUAAAAUCAACAAUAAUGAUAAUAAUAAUAUUAAAGCAAACAGAGCUCUGGUAUCGGAAUAGUAUCGGUAUCAGCCGAUAUCCAAAUUCAGGUAUCGGGAUCGGAUCGGAAGUGAAAAAAUGUGGAUCGGUGCAUCCCUAGUCUACAUGCUAGGCUAAAGGCUAGGGCUACACAACCACUGCUACCUACCCUGCUGCUGGCUAAUUUCCGCUCUCUUGAAAGUAAGAUGGACGAGCUGAGAACUAAGACUACAACUCAGCAUGAGAUAAGAGAAUGUUGUGCUCUUAUUUUCACUGAGACCUGGCUUUCGGACAGCGCACCAAACUCGGAUCUCCUGCUCCACACACUCCAUCCACCGUGGAGACGGUGCGGACCCUUUUAUCUACCGAGGGAGUUACUUGCUGUUUACAUUCUGCCACAGGUCUAGACCGAACUCGUUAAACAUUUACAGAGACCCAACAGUACCACCAUGAGCAAGCACUUGGCGACGGGGGCAAGGAAAAAGUGCCUUUUAACUAGGCAGAAACCUAGGACAGAUCCUUCGGCUCUAGGGUGGUCAUCUGCCUUGACCAGUUGGGGUGUGAGAGAGAGAGAGAGACACAGACAAUAUGUGUACCACAGAUGUACUUGCAGUACUGAAGUGAUGCAGUUUCUGCAUGUGGUUUUUGUCUUUGUGUCCUUUGAUGGUCCACACACCUUGCAGCGCUUUCUCUUGCCACCGGCUGCAACCUAGAAUGAUGAAAAGACAAGUAGUAAAAUCACACACACACACACAACUGCAAGAGGACACUUACUUCAGAAACUUGCUGGAGCCUCUGCCAUACUCCUCACUGUGGCUAGAGAAGCUGGGGUCCCAAGACAUGUUGUCUCCUUUGAAUGUGCGGUGUCACCAGUGCUUUGCCUAGCUCCUCAAGGAAAAGUCGUCUUCUUUGAAGCUUCCUUUGGUUCCAGUCUGGGUUGAUUGGUAUCCAGAUUGUAAAUGCAUUAUAGCCUGAGACAUCCAGCAUGUUGUAAAAGAUCACGAGUGGCCACCGUAGCGUUCUUCUUUGACAGCUGUGGCAGGCCAGCAGCUUGUCAAGGUUGUCUACCCCUCGUUGGGUGGCACUGUAGUCAAGUAUGACCUCUGGCUUACGGGCCUCCCGGCUACUUAUUGUUCCAUUCCUGUGUAGAGUGCUCAUGAGCGACACAUUCUUUCCUUUUUUUGGUAUGCAAGAUACCAGGGCAGUGUCGACCGUAAACAUAAAGUUGGAGGAAUGGACUGGCCUUUAUUUUCACAGUUAGAACCUCGGGUGGGAGCUCCAGCCUAUUUUUCCAGAUUUUUCCAACCUGUAGACACCAGCAAUGAUAAAGAAGCCAAAGUAGGCAUGCAGAUGCCCAUGAUGUCCAUCUCUUUCUACUGGUCACCGAAAACAGUCUCCCCUCAGGAUUAGUCAUAUCCAGAAUAAUUUUCUGAAUUAAGUCAGGAAUCAGCAGCUUAAAGGAUGACUUGAUAUCCUGAUCAUGAGUCACUGCAAAUCGUGUGGGCCCUGGUACCAUCCAUAUGAUGUUAGCAGCUGAACGGG
rnacentral:lncRNA from 15 species